GUUCAGUAUGUUCUGUAUCACUUAGAGGAACAGUGGUGUCCGUUUUCCCUCUUUAUCCUAAAGAUGUACUGUAUACCUAAGUAGUGCAAACAGAUGCAUGUACAUAUGUAAAAUGUAUAUGAAAUAGAUGCCUUUUGCUUCUUUUGGCGAGACAUUCCUUUAAUAUCUAAUGUAUUGUAUGUUUAAUGUAUCUGAUUACAGUUUAAUACAUAACAUUUUAAUAUUUGUGCCAGGUCAAACACAUUAGGCAAAGGUAUUUUUUUUUUUUUUUUUUUAUUAUUUAUUUAUUUAGACCUGUUCUGAUCAGCCAACUUUUUAGAUGCCACCUAAAAGCUGCUUUUGGAGAGAUAUUCCUUCAAUCUCUCAUUUCUGGUUCGUUUACUGUACCUGAUUACAGUAAAUAAAGCCUAAGAGUACAUCAUGGUGGAAAAACAUUUCUCACAAUCCUACUGAUUUUGAUCAAAUGUAAUGGUAGCUGUGAAUAGAGAACGGGAAUGCAUCCUCAAAGUUUAUACAGCUCUAAUGUGUCAAGCUUCAGGUCAUUACAUGCUCUGUGAAUAUUUGUUUGUCAAUUAAUGCAAAUGUGACAGGUUCACACACUACCAUAUGGCUGUCCAUUGAUAGACAACAUUUUAAAAAAUAAGAACUAACCACCAAGUAAAAAAAAAAAAAAAAAGAAAAUUAAAGAAAAAUUAAAAUGUGUUUAUCAAAACUAUGGUGCUACAUCUUAAUGUUUCAUGAACUGUUUUUUUUAUUUAUUUUACUUUAAAAAUUUGUCUACAUAAGCCUACAAUUAUGAUUGGAUGAUUAUUUGGAUUUGUUUAUGGAGACCCUUACAUUUCACUUAAAAGGGCUUAUUGUGGGGUUGUUAAACAAGUAAUUUGUUUUCAAGAAGUAUUUUCAUUUUUUUCCCUUUUUAAAUUCUUGUUCAUGCUGCAAAUUAAACUGAAUUUAAAGUUAUAGUUCACAACAAAGUGUGAAAAAAAUAAUAAUAAUAAAAAAGCACUGACACAUUUUUCA
ensembl:lncRNA